CCAGAUUUCAAAGAGAGACAUUCAGGGGAAUGAAACGUAUGGUAUUCUUCAAAAAUACCUUCUGUAUUUUUUUUUUAUUCAAAUUAGCAUCUGGCUAGCAGAACCUAACACUGCCUCCUACAACGUCAGAUGGAAAUUUUGUGGGGUCUUACGAAACAGGAGAAACAGGUGGAAGAUGAAGGCAAUCCUUGGUGAAGAUCUCUUAGAAUUCUUAAACCCCUCCCACGCCCCAACGCUGGGUGCGAGACAAGAGCCAUGAGAAGAUAUGGGGCAGAGGGAGACCGUCUCUCAGAAGGUCUUCACUUCCAGGAAAUCAACCCACCAUGAAUCCCCAGAAAAAGCAGAAGGGAUGCUUUGUAUUCCCAUCUUGCAGAAAAUGGAAAUGGCUGAAGGCAGAGAUAGGGCGCUGCAAUUUCUCCCAUCUUCGUGUCUGCGUCAAGUAGUGCGGUAUCUGAGAAGGAUGGAUGGUGUAAUGGGUGAAGAGGUGUGAAUGGAUCCAGGGACAUCGAGUCGAAAUAUGAGGCCACGUGUGAAAUUAUUUGUCUGAAGGAAGGUUUAUUAAAACAUCCCGCGUUCACAACAGCAAGACUUGGGAAAGCUUUUGUGAGCAGUUCUUGACACUUUAAUACCAAACCCAGCUCUCCUUAUUUCACUACGUAGCUUUUUAAAGUCAGACAUGAAUCUGAGUGCUGGAAGCAAUCACACCAAUUAGUGAAGCUCUGUGACAUGUUUUGUGUUUCUUCUCAGAAAAGAAACGGGACACUGGAAAUGGACACUAGCAACGACAGCACUCAUCCCCGCUCUGCUGGGCAUGCACGUCGUUAGGGGCUGUGCAACCACUGCUGUGCCAUCCUUAUGGGCUUUACAUAAAUAGCCUCCUGUUUUUUUAAAUAAAUUAUAUUAUAAAUUACGAUCA
rnacentral:lncRNA from 12 species